ACACCCUCAAGCUCUGCUUGGUGUUGGGCGUCUGUCCCGCCUCCGUGCGCGGACUCGCCUCAAAGCGAUUGGCGGCUGGUACCACGGCCUGGAGUGCAGCAGAAUUGCGCUCCUUGUCCGGGGUCUGGCUCCCAGAAGCGAACCUUUUUCACUU
rnacentral:misc_RNA from 1 species